GACGAACGCUGGCGGCGUGCCUAAUACAUGCAAGUCGAACGCUGAAGGAGGAGCUUGCUCUUCUGGAUGAGUUGCGAACGGGUGAGUAACGCGUAGGUAACCUGCCUGGUAGCGGGGGAUAACUAUUGGAAACGAUAGCUAAUACCGCAUAACAGUAGAUGUUGCAUGACAUUUACUUAAAAGGUGCAAUUGCAUCACUACCAGAUGGACCUGCGGUGUAUUAGCUAGUUGGUGGGGUAACGGCUCACCAAGGCGACGAUUCAUAGGCGACCUGAGAGGGUGAACGGCCACACUUGGACUGAGACACGGGCCAGACGCCUUCGGGGGGCAGCAGGAGGGGAACUUCGGCAAUGGACGGAAAGCUGACCGAGCAACGCCGCGGGAGGGAAGAAGGGUGUCGGAUCGUAAAGCUCUGUUGUAAGGGAAGAACGAGUGUGAGAGUGGAAAGUUCACACUGUGACGGUAUCUUAACAGAAAGGGACGGCUAACUACGUG
rnacentral:rRNA from 1 species